AGAGUUUGAUUCUGGCUCAGAGCGAACGCUGGCGGCGUGGAUAAGACAUGCAAGUCGAGCGGGACCUCAUGGGUAGCAAUAUUCGUGAGGUCUAGCGGCGAACGGGUGCGUAACACGUAGCUUACCUACCCUCAAGUGGGGGAUAAUCCCGCGAAAGCGGGACUAAUACCGCAUGUGUCCCCGACGAAAGUCGGGGGUAAAGCUGGGGACCCUUCGGGGCCUGGCGCUAAGGCUGGGGCUGCGACCUAUCAGCUAGUUGGUAGGGUAACGGCCUACCAAGGCGAAGACGGGUAGCUGGUCUGAGAGGAUGACCAGCCACACUGGAACUGAGACACGGUCCAGACACCUACGGGUGGCAGCAGUCGAGAAUCUUCCUCAAUGGGCGAAAGCCUGAAGGAGCGACGCCGCGUGGGGGAUGAAGGUCUUCGGAUUGUAAACCCCUGUCACCUGGGAGCAAUCCCCCGGGAUUAAUCGUCUCGGGGUUGAUAGUACCAGGAGAGGAAGCCGUGGCUAACUCCGUGCCAGCAGCCGCGGUAAUACGGAGACGGCAAGCGUUGCUCGGAAUCAUUGGGCGUAAAGGGUCCGCAGGCGGUCGGCUAAGUCGGAUGUGAAAUCUCGUGGCUUAACUGCGAAAGGUCAUUCGAAACUGGCCGGCUCGAGGACUGGAGAGGAGACUGGAAUUGUCGGUGUAGCGGUGAAAUGCGUAGAUAUCGACAAGAACACCUGUGGCGAAGGCGGGUCUCUGGCCAGUUCCUGACGCUCAGGGACGAAAGCUAGGGGAGCAAACGGGAUCAGAUACCCCGGUAGUCCUAGCCCUAAACGGUGCUCACUUGGUGUGGGGGGAGUCGACCCCCUCCGUGCCGAAGCUAACGCGUUAAGUGAGCCGCCUGGGGAGUACGGCCGCAAGGCUAAAACUCAAAGAAAUUGACGGGGGCCCGCACAAGCGGUGGAGCAUGUGGCUUAAUUCGAUGCAACGCGAAGAACCUUACCUGGCCUUGACAUGCUGGUCGUAGAAGCCUGAAAGGGUGACGAUCCCGAGCAAUCGGGAAGCCAGCACAGGUGCUGCAUGGUUGUCGUCAGCUCGUGUCGUGAGAUGUUGGCUUAAGUGCCGCAACGAGCGCAACCCCUGUGUCUAGUUGCCAUCCUCGGAGCAAUCCGGGGGGCACUCUAGACAGACUGCCUCGCUUUAAACGAGGAGGAAGGUGGGGACGACGUCAAAUCAGUAUGGCCCUUACGGCCAGGGCUGCACACGUGCUACAAUGCCCGGCACAGAGGGAAGCGAACCCGCGAGGGCGAGCAAAUCCCUGGAAACCGGGCUCAGUUCGGAUCGAAGGCUGCAACUCGCCUUCGUGAAGUUGGAAUCGCUAGUAAUGGCGCAUCAGCUACGGCGCCGUGAAUACGUUCCCGGGCCUUGUACACACCGCCCGUCACAUCAUGGAAGCCGGCUGCACCCGAAGUCGCCCACCCAACCCGCAAGGGGCGGAGGCGCCGAAGGUAUGGCUGGUGACUGGGAUGAAGUCGAAACAAGGUA
rnacentral:rRNA from 1 species